AGCCAUGCAGUGAGUACAAGUGAACUAUUCUUUCGCCUUUUACUAAAGAAUACCGUGUACUUCGCUGCAAGAAGCGGCAUACGCCUAUUUUUGGAAGGGGUAAUAAGGCCACGGCU
rnacentral:snRNA from 1 species